rnacentral:rRNA from 1 species
AAGGUGAGGCCGGAAGGCGUAGCCGAUGCACAGACGGUAGAGAUUCCGUCACCACCAAAAGAGUUAAGCACAGGGACACAUUUGAAGUCUCAGAGCCGGGUGUUGGUUCCGGUAGAGAUCGAGGGAAAUUAGUACCGAAGUCUGGGAUGGAAGAUGGCGAGAAAAGCUGUGUGUAUUUCUGAGGUGCCCGUACCGCAAACCGACACAGGUAGGUAGGAAGAAGAUUCUAAGGCCAACGGGAGAAGGGUUGUUAAGGAACUCGGCAAAUUGAC